rnacentral:rRNA from 1 species
CGGCGGACGGGUGAGUAACGCGUGGGUAACCUGCCUCAUACAGGGGGAUAACAGUUGGAAACGGCUGCUAAUACCGCAUAAGCGCACAGUACCGCAUGGUACGGUGUGAAAAACUCCGGUGGUAUGAGAUGGACCCGCGUCUGAUUAGGUAGUUGGUGGGGUAACGGCCUACCAAGUCGACGAUCAGUAGCCGACCUGAGAGGGUGACCGGCCACAUUGGGACUGAGACACGGCCCAA